rnacentral:snoRNA from 1 species
GGCCCCAAUGAUGAUCAAAAACUUUCGUUCUACCGAGCAGUUCAAGCUGUGGGGAUACAACCUUGGUUUGGAGACCUGAACUGAGGGGAC